AUUGAACGCUGGCGGCAUGCUUUACACAUGCAAGUCGAACGGCAGCACGAAAGAGCUUGCUCUUUUGGUGGCGAGUGUCGAACGGGUGAGUAAUGCAUCGGAACGUACCGAGUAAUGGGGGAUAACUGUCCGAAAGGAUAGCUAAUACCGCAUACGCUUUGAGAAGGAAAGUGGGGGCUCUUCGGACCUCACGUUCUUCGAGCGGCCGAUGUCUGAUUAGCUAGUUGGUGGGGUAAAGGCCUACCAAGGCGACGAUCAGUAGCGGGUCUGAGAGGAUGAUCCGCCACACUGGGACUGAGACACGGCCCAGACUCCUACGGGAGGCAGCAGUGGGGAAUUUUGGACAAUGGGCGCAAGCCUGAUCCAGCCAUGCCGCGUGUGUGAAGAAGGCCUUCGGGUUGUAAAGGACUUUUGUUAGGGAAGAAAAGGAUAGUGUUAAUACCAUUAUCUGCUGACGGUACCUAAAGAAUAAGCACCGGCUAACUACGUG
rnacentral:rRNA from 1 species